UGAGUUGCUGAAGGACUGACUGCAGCCAGCACAAAGGACAACCUGCUGUACCCUCUAGCCUGAGGUGUCCUCUGGAGGGGACGUGAGAAGAGCCAGGCAGGGCUUCUGUGAGCCAAGGCAGCAGAAUCCAUGUCUCUUCCUGACCUUCCCUGGAUUCAGCUAAAGAUUUGGCUUUCAUUUUCUUGGUGAAUGAACGACUCAGCAAAAAUACAAAGUGAAAGCUAAAAGUCUAAACAGACUUUUGAAACUCCUGGCAGAGAUGGUAAUUCAAGGCAAGAAGAAAAGCUUCAGAGGUUUAAAAGCCUAACUUUUGGACUUUCAAAAGCAUAGCUCUUAAGGGGACUCAGGGCACAGAGAACAUAUGAUGAGUUAAAAAAAACAAAUGACAACAGGCAAACAGGGAAAAGCUAGUCUAGAGUGGAAGUCAAGGUGGUAAAGGAAGUACUCGAGAGAAGUGGGUCUUUGAGGAGGAUUCCCGGGCCCAGCAUUCCUUGGGUCAAGGCUGGUGAGGAAUGAUGGUGUCCCUUGUAGGUUUGGGGAACUGAGAACAGAGGGGGACCUGUGCCUCUCUUUCUUGGGGUGAGCCCAAGAAAGGGUCCAAUACAGUAUGGAACAUGAAGGUCCACAGACAAACCCUCUGAGUUUUUCAAAGCCGAGGGUAGUAUGAGACCUUCAGACAGGAUCUUAUGCUUCUGAGAGUGGCCUGGAUGAGACACAGGGAGAAAGCCAUAGGAGGAACCAGAACAACAUGGCAGAGGACAGUGAGGGUGGGGACCUCUCUGUGAUACCAGCAUAGUAGAUGAUGACCUGGAGGACACAGUGACCCCUUCCCCUGACCUAUCGGGAACCUUGAGGAAAUGAGAAUCUACAGGGAUCCUGAAAUUCCCGAGAUGAAAUUUCUGCCAUUGAGCAUACUGGAGCUGAAGAGGGAACUUAAGCUUAAUCACAGAAAAGGAAAGAAAGUUACAUUGUGGGCACAUUUUAGCUGCUAUUUAUAUGCAUUACACAUAGAAAGACAUUCCCCAAACUAUAAUUAUGAGGUGACAGACAUUUUCUGGCUCUUGACUGUGGCCUGGGAAGUGUAUUGAUGGUCGCUUUUACGGAGCUCCCUGCAAGGGUCCCCUGUACCUGGAAUACUGGGUGAGGAACUGGUCGCUGUGUUUCAAGAAGGACCUACUGUUUCAGGGAAGAUUCAGGAUGGCCAGUUCUGAGAGGAGCAGGGACCUUGGCAGGGACAGAGCUGACACGCAGUACAGCUGUGCAGUCGUGACUGUGGCCGAGAAUGCACACUGCUGAUAGAAAAUUUAACCAGAGCCGGCAAGGGUGGGAGCUGGGCCCCAUGGAUUGUUCGUGAAGUCCUGGAGACUAUAGUAUAUAAACUAGGCCAACUCAAUGGGAUUGGAGAGAAGAAAAGAUAGCACAGCUCACAGAGGAUAAUAUAUCUCAGGGCCUGUUAGCCCUGUGAGAAUACACAGGUUGGAAAUACAGAUAUUUUAAAGAAGCGAUUAGUUUAGGGUGUCUUAACCUUGGCAUUAUUGGCAUUUUAAGUCAGGUAAUUCUUUGUUAUGGAGGAGAGGACUGUCCUGUACAUUGUACCAUGUUUAGCAGCAUCCCUGGCCUCUGUACUCAUUAACUGACAGGAGCACCCUGCCCCCGCCCCACCCCAGUUGUGAUAGCCAAUAAUGUGUUCAGAUAUUGCCAUAUGUCUUUGGGCGGGUAAAAUCACCCACAAUGGAGAACAUUGGUUUACUUUAAUGUUCCCAAAUGAUGGAUCGAUCACAGAAUAGGGGUUGUGCAAAAAAAAAAAAAAAAAA